rnacentral:rRNA from 1 species
GACGAACGCUGGCGGCGUGCUUAACACAUGCAAGUCGAACGGAAAGGCCCUGCUUUUGUGGGGUGCUCGAGUGGCGAACGGGUGAGUAACACGUGAGUAACCUGCCCUGGACUUUGGGAUAACUUCAGGAAACUGGGGCUAAUACCGGAGAGGAGCUCCUGCUGCAUGGUGGGGGCUGGAAAGUGUCGGCGGUUGGGGAUGGACUCGGGGCUUAUCAGCUUGUGGGUGGGGUAGUGGCUUACCAAGGCUUUGGAGGGUAGCCGGCCUGGGAGGGUGACCGGCGACAUUGGGACUGAGAGAGGGCGCAGACUGGUACGGGAGGCAACGGUGGGGAAUAUUGCACAAUGGGCGGGAGCGUGAUAAAGCAACGCCGCGUGCGGGAUGCCGGCUUUCGGGUAGUAAACCGCUUUCGCCUGUGACGACGCGUGAGUGACGGUACUGGGUAAAGAAGCACCGGCUAACUACGUG